rnacentral:rRNA from 1 species
UACAUGGGGUGCAAACGUUGCUCGGAAUCAUUGGGCGUAAAGCGCGCGUAGGCGGUUACUUAAGUUGGAUGUGAAAGCCCUCGGCUUAACUGAGGAAGUGCAUCCAAAACUGAGUAGCUAGAGUACGAAAGAGGGUCGCGGAAUUCCCGGUGUAGAGGUGAAAUGUGUUGAUAUUGGAAGGAACACCGGAGGCGAAAGCGGUGUACUGGGGCUGGUCUGACGCUGAGGCACGAAAGCCAGGGGAGCGAACGGG